rnacentral:rRNA from 1 species
UACGGAGGAUGCAAGCGUUAUCCGGAAUUAUUGGGCGUAAAGCGUCCGCAGGUGGCACUUCAAGUCUGUCGUCAAAGACCGGGGCUUAACCCUGGAAAGGCGAUGGAAACUGAAAGGCUAGAGAGAGGUAGGGGUAGAGGGAAUUCCCAGUGUAGCGGUGAAAUGCGUAGAGAUCAGGAAGAACACCGGUGGCGAAAGCGCUCUGCUGGACCUAAACUGACACUGAGGGACGAAAGCUAGGGGAGCGAAUGGG